GAAAGUUCAGAGCGUUGUAAUCUGGGUUUCGGAGGGUUUGUGUUAAUAUUGCCAUUCUUAUGUUGGAGGGAUUGAGACUUUUAACAGCACUGAGCGUGUCCUUGGUAAGGGAAGAGAGCUGGGGGAGAAUGGAAUUUGGGGUGUGUUAUAGGAGGAUUAGUUGUGGUGUGUAAGCUCGGAGGGGAAGGUCAUUGUCUCCAAAAUGAGCAUUUCUUUUGCUUGUCGAAGAGCUUUCUAACAGGGCAAGUUCCCUAUUAUUCCAUGCUCUGGUGUUCUCGGCACAGGGGCUGAGAAGCAAUGGAAACAAAUUUGGCUCCCAAAACAUUUCUUUGCUUUCUGCCUGCAAAAAGGAUGAGGAUGGGGCCUGCUGGGAUUUGAGGUGUUAUCUCAGAACAUUGCACUGUUCAUUGGGUGCUGUCUUGUCAAGAGAUCAACAUUUCAACUGCCCCUUGACACUGGCUUUUUAAAGCAAGUUAGAGCAGGAAGGUAUUUUCCAACAUAUAGUUGGAUACCCUCAGUUCUCUCACAGAGAGAAGAGGAAAUGGAAGGGUUGAAAAUGCACUGAGAGCAGAAAGCCACUAUACAGAAGGACUAAACAGGUGAGAGAUUAUAGUGUUCUGUACAUGUGACCAGUGGUGAAGCAAAAUAAAAUAUGUAGACAAGUGGCAGAUGAGCAACUUGACAGUUUACCCUGCAGUGUCCUGCGAGUGGGGAAAAUAUGCUUGUUUCGAGGCUAAAGAUGGUGGUUGAACCUAUUUCUUCACUGCCAGCUGUAGUAGCUGCUGUAUCUUAUGUUCCAAGGCAUAAAAUGGAGUAUACAAGUGACUCAAAUUCUGGAAAUUCUAAUAAGUUUGUAUAAUGUAUGAUGAAGUUGCAUUUCUACAAAGUGACUAGCUUUGAUAUCAUGAAAGUUGCUUUUAGCAGAAAGUGCAAGCAAGCUUAUCACCACGAUAUCUCUAAACCUU